UCAUGUUUAUAGCCACAAUUCCAUGGAUGUGGUGAGUAAACCAAUGGCCACUUCCUUAAUAAAAUACAAGAAUUUUCAUCAUGCAUAGUUUACAGGCUCCUUAAGAGGUGGUCUCUUUGAGAAGCUGGAUGUUCAAGAAAGAUUCAACAGUCAAACAAUUAAUUCUUGGCAAAUCUCUUUUUUUACACAAACAUUUGGUUUGGUUAUUUAACCACCUUAGUAAUACAACUUAUUUAUACUCUAACUGGAAUAAACAUUGUAUAAAAACACAAGCCUGUCAAACUCAAUAGUGGUAACUAUUACACCCUCUUUGCAGUAAGAAUCAUUAUUCUUAGAUUUCAAACACUUUAUUUUCUUUCAGGGCACACCUUAUAGCACUGUAUUAUAGGAAUCAAACAGCGUAACAAAAA
rnacentral:lncRNA from 1 species